rnacentral:rRNA from 1 species
GGCUCAGGAUGAACGCUAGCGGCAGGCUUAACACAUGCAAGUCGAGGGGCAUCGGGAGUAGCAAUACUGCCGGCGACCGGCGCAAGGGUGCGUAACGCGUGAGCAACAUGCCCGUAUCAGGGGGAUAAUCCAUGGAAACGUGGUCUAAUACCCCAUAGUAAUUAUGUAAGGCAUCUUAUAUAAUUUAAAGCUUUGGUGGAUACGGAUUGGCUCGCGUGACAUUAGCUAGAUGGUAAGGUAACGGCUUACCAUGGCUACGAUGUCUAGGGGUUCUGAGAGGAAGGUCCCCCCACACUGGAACUGAGACACGGUCCAGACUCCUACGGGAGGCAGCAGUGAGGAAUAUUGGACAAUGGAUGGAAAUCUGAUCCAGCCAUGCCGCGUGCAGGAAAGACGGCCCUAUGGGUUGUAAACUGCUUUUGUAUGGGAGCAAUAAGGGCUACGCGUAGUCCGAUGAGAGUACCAUACGAAUAAGCACCGGCUAACUCCGUGCCAGCAGCGGC